ACCCAGCUGACGAGUUCUAAACAGGACGAAACACGCAUCAAACUGGAU
rnacentral:hammerhead_ribozyme from 1 species